GACAGAGGGUGCAAACGUUGUUCGGAAUUACUGGGCGUAAAGCGCGUGUAGGCGGCCCUGCAAGUCGGGUGUGAAAUCCCACGGCUCAACCGUGGAAGUGCACUCGAAACUGCAGGGCUAGAGUCCUGGAGAGGAAGGUGGAAUGCUUGGUGUAGAGGUGAAAUUCGUAGAUAUCAAGCGGAACACCGGUGGCGAAGGCGGCCUUCUGGGACAGUGACUGACGCUGAGACGCGAAAGCGGUGGGGAGCAAACAGGG
rnacentral:rRNA from 1 species